rnacentral:rRNA from 1 species
UCGUGACCCCAGGUCAGGCGG